CGAAAGCCUGACGGAGCAAGACCGCGUGGGGGAAGACGGCUCUUGGGUUGUCAACCCCUUUUCUCAGGGAAGAAGUUCUGACGGUACCUGAGGAAUAAGCAUCGGCUAACUCCGUGCCAGCAGCCGCGGUAAGACGGAGGAUGCAAGCGUUAUCCGGAAUUAUUGGGCGUAAAGCGUCCGCAGGCGGCUAAUCAAGUCUGCUGUCAAAGACCACAGCUCAACUGUGGAUCGGCGGUGGAAACUGGUUAGCUUGAGUGCGGUAGGGGUAGAGGGAAUUCCCGGUGUAGCGGUGAAAAGCGUAGAUAUCGGGAAGAACACCAGUGGCGAAAGCGCUCUACUGGGCCGCAACUGACGCUGAGGGACGAAAGCUAAGGGAGCG
rnacentral:rRNA from 1 species